rnacentral:lncRNA from 10 species
CCCAAUAAAUACUUCCCAUAGCCAAGAUUUUUGUCUUAGCUUGGAAACAAAGGAAAAGAAAAUGAGACCUUUGGAGUGGAGGAGGAGAACAGAGGAAGAAUUCGCCCUCUGAAAAAUCUAACUUCAGGAAAGCUAAAACUAAUGUUUCACUCAUCAAGCAACAAAGAAUUAAGGAAAUUGUAAUAGGCUAGGUCAAUGAAGAGUAGAGACUGGGAGGUGAGAUCUGGCCAGCUGGAUGCUGAGAACAUGAGGAUGUGAGUACCCAAAGAGUUCUGGAUAGAGACCUGACCAGAAAAUUGGACUUGAGAUGCUGCCUUUCCACAUAUGAUGAUAUGAUUUCUAGUUUUCCUAAGUUUCUCCUUGGGUAGGUGUACCUGGGUUUUCAGAGACAUGAUGAAUGAAAUCAU